rnacentral:rRNA from 1 species
AACGAACGCUGGCGGCGUGCCUAACACAUGCAAGUCGUGCGAGAAAGUUCCUUCGGGAGCGAGUAAAGCGGCGCACGGGUGAGUAACACGUAGGUAACCUGCCCCCCAGUCUGGAACAACUAGAGGAAACUCUAGCUAAUGCCGGAUGAGACCACGAUCCCUUCGGGGUUGCGGCCAAAGAUGGCCUCUACUUGUAAGCUAUCGCUGAGGGAUGGGCCUGCGGGCCAUUAGCUUGUUGGUGAGGUAACGGCUCACCAAGGCUGUGAUGGCUAGCUGGUCUGAGAGGAUGACCAGCCACACUGGGACUGAGACACGGCCCAGACUCCUACGGGAGGCAGCAGUGGGGAAUAUUGCGCAAUGGGCGAAAGCCUGACGCAGCGACGCCGCGUGGGUGAUGAAGUGCUUCGGUACGUAAAGAUCUUUUAUCGGGGACGAAGUUUAUUGACGGUACCCGAUGAAUAAGGGGCUCCUAACUCUGUGCCAGCAGCCGCGGUAAU